CGCUAUCACUCCUACGGGGAGGCAGCAGUAGGGAAUCUUCCACAAUGGGCGCAAGCCUGAUGGAGCAACACCGCGUGAGUGAAGAAGGGUUUCGGCUCGUAAAGCUCUGUUGUUAAAGAAGAACACGUAUGAGAGUAACUGUUCAUACGUUGACGGUAUUUAACCAGAAAGUCACGGCUAACUACGUGCCAGCAGCCGCGGUAAUACGUAGGUGGCAAGCGUUAUCCGGAUUUAUUGGGCGUAAAGAGAGUGCAGGCGGUUUUCUAAGUCUGAUGUGAAAGCCUUCGGCUUAACCGGAGAAGUGCAUCGGAAACUGGAUAACUUGAGUGCAGAAGAGGGUAGUGGAACUCCAUGUGUAGCGGUGGAAUGCGUAGAUAUAUGGAAGAACACCAGUGGCAAAGGCGGCUACCUGGUCUGCAACUGACGCUGAGACUCGAAAGCAUGGGUAGCGAACAGGAUUAGAUACCCUGGUAG
rnacentral:rRNA from 1 species